UACGUAGGGGGCAAGCGUUGUCCGGAUUUAUUGGGCGUAAAGAGCGUGUAGGCGGCCUGACAGGUCUGCUGUGAAAACUCGAGGCUCAACCUCGAGAUGUCGGCGGAAACCGUCUGGCUAGAGUCCGGAAGAGGAGAGUGGAAUUCCUGGUGUAGCGGUGAAAUGCGCAGAUAUCAGGAAGAACACCUAUGGCGAAGGCAGCUCUCUGGGACGGUACUGACGCUGAGACGCGAAGGCCAGGGGAGCAAACGGG
rnacentral:rRNA from 1 species